CACCGCGGUUAUACGAGGGGCCCGAGUUGACAGACGCCGGCGUAAAGCGUGGUUAAAGAAAUGUCAAAACUAAAGUCGAAUACCUUCAAAGCAGUUAUACGCAUCCGAAGGCACGAAGCCCUAGCACGAAAGUGGCUUUAUUAAACUUGACCCCACGAAAGCUAUGACA
rnacentral:rRNA from 2 species